CACGGGGUAUAAUCCAUGAAGCGUCGAGCAACAACUGAGAAUCAGGAGAAAGGCGAGGUUCAAUGAUGGAGUGAAAAUACUAGAGAAAACGAAGAAAAGGUAAAAGGAGAGCGUUGUGGAAUAAUAUGGGUAUAAUUACUCCCUUUUUCCGCGUUUAAAAAAUCGACUACGGAUUAUUUACUUGCACCACUGAUUAGAAACGCUUUCUUUUGAACACCGAAAUAAACCUUCUUGACUAGCCUUCAAAA